GAGUAAUGUCUGGGAAACUGCCUGAUGGAGGGGGAUAACUACUGGAAACGGUGGCUAAUACCGCAUAACGUCGCAAGACCAAAGAGGGGGACCUUCGGGCCUCUUGCCAUCAGAUGUGCCCAGAUGGGAUUAGCUUGUUGGUGAGGUAACGGCUCACCAAGGCGACGAUCCCUAGCUGGUCUGAGAGGAUGACCAGCCACACUGGAACUGAGACACGGUCCAGACUCCUACGGGAGGCAGCAGUGGGGAAUAUUGCACAAUGGGCGCAAGCCUGAUGCAGCCAUGCCGCGUGUAUGAAGAAGGCCUUCGGGUUGUAAAGUACUUUCAGCGGGGAGGAAGGUGUUGUGGUUAAUAACCGCAGCAAUUGACGUUACCCGCAGAAGAAGCACCGGCUAACUCCGUGCCAGCAGCCGCGGUAAUACGGAGGGUGCAAGCGUUAAUCGGAAUUACUGGGCGUAAAGCGCACGCAGGCGGUCUGUCAAGUCGGAUGUGAAAUCCCCGGGCUCAACCUGGGAACUGCAUUCGAAACUGGCAGGCUUGAGUCUUGUAGAGGGGGGUAGAAUUCCAGGUGUAGCGGUGAAAUGCGUAGAGAUCUGGAGGAAUACCGGUGGCGAAGGCGGCCCCCUGGACAAAGACUGACGCUCAGGUGCGAAAGCGUGGGGAGCAAA
rnacentral:rRNA from 1 species